rnacentral:misc_RNA from 1 species
GUUAGAUCGUCGAUCAUGGGUAAGGAUCAGGCCAACGUCAAGGGCUGCCGCUUCCGCGUUUCCGUCGCACUGCCCGUCGGCGCGGUGGUGAACUGCGCGGACAACACCGGCGCCAAGAACCUGUACGUCAUUUCCGUGAAGGGCUACCACGGCCGUCUUAACCGUCUGCCGUCUGCUGCCCUAGGCGAUAUGGUGAUGUGCUCUGUGAAGAAGGGCAAGCCGGAGCUGCGCAAGAAGGUGCUGAACGCUGUGAUCAUCCGUCAGCGCAAGAGCUGGCGCCGCAAGGACGGUACGGUGAUUUACUUCGAGGACAACGCUGGCGUGAUCGUGAACCCCAAAGGCGAAAUGAAGGGUUCCGGCAUUGCCGGCCCGGUGGCGAAGGAGUCUGCGGACCUGUGGCCCAAGAUCUCCACGCACGCCCCCGCAAUCGUCUAAUGAACUGCCUGUCGCAGCGACCACGGCCCUCUCGCUUUCCCUUGGUUGGCUCGUUAAACGACUGAACCGGCUUCUCUUUCUCUGUCGCUACUCGUCUCCAUUUCCGUUUCACGCGACAUACUUGUCUAUUAUGUCGCUGCCUUUAUGUGUGUGUGUGUGUUGCAGGGACGGGGUAGGGGGCUGAGGCGGCAAGAUAAGCAGGGGUGCCAAGGCACGGGCAGAGGCCAAAAGCAGACGUCGGCGAUGAUGGGCCUUCCUCGACUUUCUUCGUUGUGGUCUUAUCUUUGCUCGUUUUAAUUCUUGUUUUUUCAUUUCUCAUCGUCUGCAACGAAAAGAAAAAUCAAAGAAGGAGCGCAGAAGAACGGGCUCGCGACGUGCGUACACGUAUUGAGAUCGCUUCCCUUUUUGCGAAGUGUUUCUCGACCUCUGGUACACAUCUUUCGUGGGCUGCUGUGCACCAUGCUCAGCGCGCGACGUCGAGCCGUGCUUGCUUCCUUCAAUGGCCUCCCGCCCUGUGCCUUUAUCUUCCACUGGAGGAGUGUGGCACCUCGCUCGCCAGUGAUGAGAGGAAGGCGGAGUGGACAGACACCGUUUUUUUUUUCUUUUCGCAAUGAGGAGGUGAGGAGUUGGUCUGUGUGGCGCUCCUCAUGAUGAUAGGCUUCAUGGUCGACUUACCGCGCGAGGAGCAGCAUACCCAUCCACCUCCAAGCUCCUCGAAGAGGUCAGGAAAUGCCGCUUCUCAUGCCCCGCCAGUCUCUUGUGUAACUUUCUUCCCUUUUACUCUUCAUCUCACUCAUCCGUGCCUCGUUGACCACUUCACCGUAACCAAACCCCUCCCUUUCGAUUUCUCCUACCCCCCAACCCCACACUCGCUCACUCGCACCCCUUUGCUCGUGUUUCCCUCCCUAUUAUACUUUAUGCGUGCGCACUCCAUAAAG